AUUGAACGCUGGCGGCAGGCCUAACACAUGCAAGUCGAACGGUAACAGGAAACAGCUUGCUUCUUUGCUGACGAGUGGCGGACGGGUGAGUAAUGUCUGGGAAACUGCCUGGUGGAGGGGGAUAACUACUGGAAACGGUAGCUAAUACCGCAUAACGUCGCAAGACAAAAGAGGGGGACCCUCGGGCCUCUUGCCAUCGGAUGUGCCCAGAUGGGAUUAGCUUGUUGGUGGGGUAAAGGCUAACCAAGGCGACGAACCCUAGCUGGUCUGAGGGGAUGGCUAGCCACACUUGAAAUGAGACACGGUCCAAGCUCCUACGGGAGGCGGGAGUGGGGAAUAUUGCACAAUGGGCGGAAGCCUGAUGCAGCCAUGCCGCGUGUAUGAAGGAGGGCUUCGGGUUGGAAAGGUCUUUCAGCCGGGGGGAAGGGGGUAAAGGUAAUACCUUUGCUCAUUGACGUUACCCGCAGAAGAAGCACCGGCUAACUCCGUGCCAGCCGCCGCGGUAA
rnacentral:rRNA from 1 species